GAGGAUUACACUGUCUCCCUCCCCCAAUCAAUGAAACUGACCUCCCCGUGAAGAAGCGGGGAUAGACAUAUAAGACGAGAAGACCCUAUGGAGCUUUAAACACACCACUACUUAUCUAAAUCUACUUCAUCCAAGACAGAUAAAACUAAUGUGCGUUUUCAGUUGGGGUGACUGCGGAGCAUAAUAAAACCUCCACGAUGAAAAACUAAUCCAAGAACAACAAUUCAAAGAAUCAAUAAAUUGACAUCAAUUGACCCAAGUAAAAUUAUUUGAUCAACGAACCAAGUUACCCUAGGGAUAACAGCGCAAUCCAUUUCAAGAGCUCAUAUCGACAAAUG
rnacentral:rRNA from 1 species